rnacentral:rRNA from 1 species
UGGGGAAUAUUGCACAAUGGGCGCAAGCCUGAUGCAGCCAUGCCGCGUGUGUGAAGAAGGCCUUCGGGUUGUAAAGCACUUUCAGCGGGGAGGAAGGCGGUGAGGUUAAUAACCUCACCGAUUGACGUUACCCGCAGAAGAAGCACCGGCUAACUCCGUGCCAGCAGCCGCGGUAAUACGGAGGGUGCAAGCGUUAUUCGGAAUUACUGGGCGUAAAGCGCACGCAGGCGGUCUGUCAAGUCGGAUGUGAAAUCCCCGGGCUCAACCUGGGAACUGCAUUCGAAACUGGCAGGCUAGAGUCUUGUAGAGGGGGGUAGAAUUCCAGGUGUAGCGGUGAAAUGCGUAGAGAUCUGGAGGAAUACCGGUGGCGAAGGCGGCCCCCUGGACAAAGACUGACGCUCAGGUGCGAAAGCGUGGGGAGCAAACAGG